rnacentral:rRNA from 1 species
UAGGGAAUCUUCGGCAAUGGACGAAAGUCUGACCGAGCAACGCCGCGUGAGUGAAGAAGGUUUUCGGAUCGUAAAACUCUGUUGUUAGAGAAGAACAAGGACGUUAGUAACUGAACGUCCCCUGACGGUAUCUAACCAGAAAGCCACGGCUAACUACGUGCCAGCAGCCGCGGUAAUACGUAGGUGGCAAGCGUUGUCCGGAUUUAUUGGGCGUAAAGCGAGCGCAGGCGGUUUCUUAAGUCUGAUGUGAAAGCCCCCGGCUCAACCGGGGAUGGUCAUUGGACACUGGGAGACUUGAGUGCAUAAGAGGAGAGUGGAAUUCCAUGUGUAGCGGUGAAAUGCGUAGAUAUAUGGAGGAACACCAGUGGCGAAGGCGGCUCUCUGGUCUGUAACUGACGCUGAGGCUCGAAAGCGUGGGGAGCAAACAGG